GCUUGCACCGAGAUUCAACAUGGAACGAGUGGCGGACGGGUGAGUAACACGUGGGUAACCUGCCCUUAAGUGGGGGAUAACAUUUGGAAACAGAUGCUAAUACCGCAUAGAUCCAAGAACCGCAUGGUUCUUGGCUGAAAGAUGGCGUAAGCUAUCGCUUUUGGAUGGACCCGCGGCGUAUUAGCUAGUUGGUGAGGUAAUGGCUCACCAAGGCGAUGAUACGUAGCCGAACUGAGAGGUUGAUCGGCCACAUUGGGACUGAGACACGGCCCAAACUCCUACGGGAGGCAGCAGUAGGGAAUCUUCCACAAUGGACGCAAGUCUGAUGGAGCAACGCCGCGUGAGUGAAGAAGGCUUUCGGGUCGUAAAACUCUGUUGUUGGAGAAGAAUGGUCGGCAGAGUAACUGUUGUCGGCGUGACGGUAUCCAACCAGAAAGCCACGGCUAACUACGUGCCAGCAGCCGCGGUAAUACGUAGGUGGCAAGCGUUAUCCGGAUUUAUUGGGCGUAAAGCGAGCGCAGGCGGUUUUUUAAGUCUGAUGUGAAAGCCCUCGGCUUAACCGAGGAAGCGCAUCGGAAACUGGGAAACUUGAGUGCAGAAGAGGACAGUGGAACUCCAUGUGUAGCGGUGAAAUGCGUAGAUAUAUGGAAGAACACCAGUGGCGAAGGCGGCUGUCUGGUCUGUAACUGACGCUGAGGCUCGAAAGCAUGGGUAGCGAACAGGAUUAGAUACCCUGGUAGUCCAUGCCGUAAACGAUGAAUGCUAGGUGUUGGAGGGUUUCCGCCCUUCAGUGCCGCAGCUAACGCAUUAAGCAUUCCGCCUGGGGAGUACGACCGCAAGGUUGAAACUCAAAGGAAUUGACGGGGGCCCGCACAAGCGGUGGAGCAUGUGGUUUAAUUCGAAGCAACGCGAAGAACCUUACCAGGUCUUGACAUCUUUUGAUCACCUGAGAGAUCAGGUUUCCCCUUCGGGGGCAAAAUGACAGGUGGUGCAUGGUUGUCGUCAGCUCGUGUCGUGAGAUGUUGGGUUAAGUCCCGCAACGAGC
rnacentral:rRNA from 1 species